rnacentral:lncRNA from 1 species
GUACUAGCUGUCAGCUGCUGGAGACCUUGCUUUCUGUUUCACUGGGAAACAGAAGCAAUCAGAAGGAAACUUCCUCAGACUCCACCUCUCCCUUCACUCCCGCCUGUAUCCGUGCCUGUUACCUGGACGCCUUGUGGAACUUGAAUUCUACGCCCUCCACUGGGACACUGCCCUUCAUCCUCUCUCACCUCCUCCAGGACAACAAAUGUUGUAGUCCUCAUCAUCAGCAGAGACUUUGUGCCAUCCUCUGCUAUAUUAUCCUGAAGAGUGCCUGGCUCAUGGCUGCGGAUUUUAUUGAGAGAACGGAGACUGCUGGUGAACUCUCAAGAGGGUUAAUUGGAGUUUUAUCAAGCCAGAUUUCAUGGUGUCUGCUUAAUGUUAAUCUCUCCAAGCUUCCCACCAGACUGCAAAGGCUGAGCUGCAGUGUUCUGAAUAGCAGUCCAGCUAUGAGGGGAGGUGCCCGUGGCAGGCCUCAGCUGACCCUGGAGAGGCCAUUAAGACCUGGCUGUCGCCUCCACAGCUGCUCGGAGGCAGAGAAAGGUGGCUUUGUAAGAAGAAAAGAGAUCAUUCUUUUUCCACCAUGUGAGGACCCAGCAAGAGGGUGGCUGUCUGCAAACCCAGGGAGAGAGCCCUCACCAGGAAUCUGCUGGCACCUUAAUCUUGGACUUCCCAGCCUCCACAACUGUGAGGAAUAAAUGUAUGUUGUUUAAGCCA